CUGCAUCCAGGCAUCCAUAGCCUUUGGAGCCCAGUUUCUACAUCUGAAUUAUCUCAAACGACUUUGUAGUUUGUAACAAAAUUAAAAGCUCAUGUACAACAAAGCAUCAGCUGCCAGCAGCCUGUAGGUGGAGGAAACAGGAUACAUGAUGACAUGAAUUGUGCCUCGAAGUACUAAAACAUAGAGACCAUCAAAGUCAAUUAAAGGCCAUUCACUAAUUAAAGCAAUUACAACCAGCAAAGACUUUCCCUUCUCGCUUCAUAACCAAACAGCGAGUCCUCUUCUGCAUAGCCAACAACACAUUCUGCCACGUGUUGACUCUGGACGCCCCCGCCUUGAUCCCAACAUGACUUACCCCAACACCAACGUUCAUCUCAGUCAAUUCCUCAGUCUUAAAGCCCAACACCUCCUCCGGCUCGGCCCCGUCGAGCACCAUUAUCAGGCACGAACAAAACCCUUUUGAAAUCUCUGAAUCACUGUCGGCUCUGAACCUCAUUCUUCCUCUCUCGUCCAUCACUACCUCAAGCCACACCUGCGUGGCGCAACCCGCCACCUUGUUCGCCUGCACGCGCCCUGAGUCGUCCAACCCCGGCAAGACCGCCGCGUAAUCUAACAGACGUUUGACCCGGUCAAUGGGUUCCGUUAAUGAAUCGAAUUCUGACACCAGCAGUUGAAGUUUAGUGCUUGUUGUUGCGAUGGGUUCCGGGUUGCGUUCGUGUACGCAAGUAAAAGACUUUACGGAACGGUUUCUUGGUAUCCUGAUAUUACUGAUUGGCGUGCGUUUAACGUUUGAGAAAAACAAAGGUGACGAGAAAGAGCGGCGACUUGUGUUUAGGGUUGAUGAAAGUUUCAGGCUCAUGUUUAGAUGAGGAGGAAGUGGAAGUGAAGAAAAUUAAUUUAAGUAAAAACAAAGGGCGAGGAGUAGAGCAAGCAAAUGGGAAAGAUCCUUAAACUGCGCCGACUUUUGUCUGUGUCUUUGAGAAAGUUGUUCUCUAUUCUAUAUAUAGGUAACAGAAAUACAUCGCGCCAAAAAUAGAUCACGUCAUAGUCGUGUUCCGAUACAACCACGUCUGCCAAAAUUUAGGGGGCAAUGGAAGUGUACUGUUUUUUUUCCCCUUUUUUUACCACAAAUUUAUGGUGAAACUCGAAACUUUUCACCUAAUAAAUGAAGGAAAAGUUAUCUGAAAAUAUUUAAAAAAAAAGUAUAUGUAUCUACGACUUAAAAUUAAAAUAAUCUUUUAAUAGUAACAUAUGUGAAUGUUAAUUAACAAAUAAAUAAUAUUAAUGGAGGGGUAGAAUAUGGACGAAAGUGAAUCCGCAGAACCCGACUGCUAUUUUUUUUUCUAUUCUAUUAUGAAUAUUAAAGUAGAAGAAAAGAAAGCCAGGUCUGAGCAUCCUGGCGGCUGCUGUUGAAAUUGCUUUGUAUUGCCGGCUUAGUUCAGGUUGGGACAAAAGGGGAAGUGAUUGUAGUAAGAUAGUCCUGUAAAGAAUUCUUGGUUGUAUCAUAAUCAAACAGUUAUUUUGCUUUUUUUUUUUUGCUUUGCUUUUUUUUUUUUUUUUAUUACGUGAGAUUAUUGCUCGGAUUACAAUCCAGGCAUCCAUAGCCUUUGGAGCCCAGUUUCUACAUCUGAAUUAUCUCAAACGACUUUGUAGUUUGUAACAAAAUUAAAAGCUCAUGUACAACAAAGCAUCAGCUGCCAGCAGCCUGUAGGUGGAGGAAACAGGAUACAUGAUGACAUGAAUUGUGCCUCGAAGUACUAAAACAUAGAGACCAUCAAAGUCAAUUAAAGGCCAUUCACUAAUUAAAGCAAUUACAACCAGCAAAGACUUUCCC
rnacentral:lncRNA from 1 species